CAGUUACUGUAUAAGGAAAGUCCAUUCGUGAGUGCUGGCUGAACUUAAUUUUAAAGUGCAUUAGCCAUAAAAGGGAAGCCUCAAGACUCAAGAAGGACCAAGUGAACUACAUGAAUGGUUGUCUCAAGGAGCAUGGGAUUCUUGUGGAGGGUGACGAGGCUAUUCUGACACUGGCCCUUGUGUGCAUUCGCUUCAGAGACCUUGUGACGGGGGAAGCCUUAAGAAGACAAGCCCAUUUUCUUUGGCUUGACAGAUAUGUAGGUCGAGGAAGAAGAGGGAAACUCGACACCCAGCCAGGCUUCUGCAGCGAGUUCUGCCAAAUCUGUGCUGACCUUCUUUGAGUGUUGUGUGCAUGUAGUGCAAUAGAUGCAAACUCCUCACCUUUCAGUGACAACUCACUUUUUUGAGGUUAAAAUGGGUCCCCUAUGAGAUUUGCAUGGAUCC